rnacentral:rRNA from 1 species
UGGGGAAUAUUGGACAAUGGGCGAAAGCCUGAUCCAGCCAUGCCGCGUGUGUGAAGAAGGUCUUCGGAUUGUAAAGCACUUUAAGUUGGGAGGAAGGGCAGUAAGCGAAUACCUUGCUGUUUUGACGUUACCGACAGAAUAAGCACCGGCUAACUCUGUGCCAGCAGCCGCGGUAAUACAGAGGGUGCAAGCGUUAAUCGGAAUUACUGGGCGUAUAGCGCGCGUAGGUGGUUCGUUAAGUUGAAUGUGAAAGCCCCGGGCUCAACCUGGGAACGGAAGCAAAAGCGGGCAGGCUAAAGUAGGGAAGAGGGUGGUGGAAUUUCCUGUGUAGGGGUGAAAUGCGUGGAUAUAGGAAGGAACACAGGGGGCGAAGGCGACCACCUGGGCUCAUACUGACACUGAGGUGCGAAAGCGUGGGAGCAAACAGG